rnacentral:rRNA from 1 species
AGAUGGCGACCGGCGCACGGGUGAGUAACACGUAUCCAACCUGCCGAUAACUCGGGGAUAGCCUUUCGAAAGAAAGAUUAAUACCCGAUGGCAUAAUAGAACCGCAUGGUUUGAUUAUUAAAGAAUUUCGGUUAUCGAUGGGGAUGCGUUCCAUUAGGCAGUUGGUGGGGUAACGGCCCACCAAACCUUCGAUGGAUAGGGGUUCUGAGAGGAAGGUCUCCCACAUUGGAACUGAGACACGGUCCAA